AUACGGAGGGUGCAAGCAUUAAUCGGAUUUACUGGGCGUAAAGGGCGCGUAGGCGGAUCGAUUAGUCAGAUGUGAAAUUUUUGUGCUCAACACAAAAGCUGCAUUUGAAACUGUCGAUCUUGAGGAUGGACGGGGAAAAUGGAAUUCCACAUGUAGCGGUGGAAUGUGUAGAUAUGUGGAGGAACACCAGUGGCGAAGGCGAUUUUCUAGUUUAUUUUUCCUGACGCUGAGGCGCGAAAGUGAGGGGAGCAAACAGGAUUAGAUACCCCGGUAGUCC
rnacentral:rRNA from 1 species